AAGGGUAAGAAGAGGAAUCAUGUGGAAGAAGAGUAAACAUCUGAUGGUGUCCUGGGUAGCUGAAACUGUGGAAAGCAAAACCGUGGAUAAGGGGGAACUACUAUACUGAAAAUGUACAAAACAGAGAAGAUUUCAUUGAAGAAGUCUGCUGUUUCUGGAAUGGGAAAUUAAGAUAAAAAUUGAAGCUCUCAUCUUCUAUAACAUCAUUGGUUCUUUUGAAGCACAACUGGAACAGUUAUCGACUGUGAUUCUUGCUGGGACCAAUAACCUUCUACAAAUACCAACAUCAGUUUUUAUGAAAGGCAAAGAGCUGACAGGUUUACAGACUGCACCCUAACAUUAAGCUACCAGGAGAAACUUCCAAGUUACCCUCUUGUUACUUGUGCCCCAGAGGUGAACACUAUAAACUGCUACAGCAUGCAAUUUAGGGAGAGGUUCGUGAAGAAGUGAUUGGGAAAGAGAGCAAGUCUUGGUUGGACAGUGUGAUUCAAUAGAAAUGUGAGGAGGAAAACUGCAAUUAUUUCUGAACCUUCCCAUCAGCCUUGUCUCUGAUAGAAUUGGCCUGUUGUGGACGGGCUUUGUGUAGAUUAGAGAAAGAAGAAGAUGCUCUUUUGGUGUAAUUGUUCAGUUCCACAUGGCCGGGGAGGCCUCACGAUCAUGGCAGAAGGCAAGGAGGAGCAAGUCACAUCUUAUGUGGAUGGCAGCAGGCAAAGAGAGAGCGAGCUUGUGCAAGGAGACUCCCAUUUUUAAAACCAUCAGAUCUCGUGAGACUUAUUCACUAUCAGGAGAACAGCAAGCUAAAUCAGUGUGAGACCAAGGACCCUGGGGCUCCUCCAGUCAUUGCAGCUGUAUCACAACUACCCUGACAGAUUUCUUGCUCAGGGCAAGCCACCUGCCAUGUCUUGAGAACACUCAAGCAGCACAUGGCGAGGAAUGGAGAUGGACAGACAUGGGCCAGCAAGAAACAGGCUUGCCAACAACAGCUUGCGUGAUCCUGAAAGUGGGUCCUCUAGCCCCAUGUGACUGUUGCCCUGGCCAACAACUUAACUGCAACCUCAAGAGAUACCUACCCUGAGUCAGAACCACCCAGUCAAACUACCCCUGGCAUCUUAACUCAGAGCCCCGUUGACUGGAGGAUGGCCAUUUGACAACACAUUAUUUCCUGAGGAAACUUUUGACUUCUGGUGACUUGGGCCCCAGGCAAGUAUGUGCCAAUCACAAACUUUCUGGCUCAUCCUAGGCUUCUCAGUCUCUGUCCCUCUAUAUUGAAUUUGAUUUUGAGAGGAAGGCAUCCAAAAGAGUUGGUGUGAACCUAAUACUGUCACAAAGCUGGGAAAAUUUUGGGCUCAAUAUUUGAGACAGGAAGAGAACCCCAGCUGCCUUACUGAGACUGAUUUAUAAGAGUAAAUUAUAAAAAUGAA
ensembl:lncRNA LINC02889 long intergenic non-protein coding RNA 2889